rnacentral:rRNA from 1 species
AGGAUGAACGCUAGCGGGAGGCUUAAUACAUGCAAGUUGUGCGGCAAGCAGUAGCAAUACUGCCUAGAGCGGCGUACGGGUGAGUAACACGUAUGUAAUCUGCCCCUGUCCGGGGGAUAGCCCUCCGAAAGGAGGAUUAAUACCCCAUAACACUAUGGAACGGCAUCGUUCUAUAUUUAAAGCCCCGGCGGACAGGGAUGAACAUGCGCCCCAUUAGCUUGUUGGCGAGGUAACGGCUCACCAAGGCGACGACGGGUA